AGUUUGAUCCUGGCUCAGGAUGAACGCUAGCUACAGGCUUAACACAUGCAAGUCGAGGGGCAUCAGGAAGAAAGCUUGCUUUCUUUGCUGGCGACCGGCGCACAGGUGAAACCACCUCUCCCACCCCCCCUUUAUCGGGGAAACCUUAAAAGAGAAGUUUUAACCCCGAUUUAUAACUCUUCCGCUUGGUUUAAUAUAAAAGGUUCCGGUAAAGGGUGGGGACGCUUCCUUUUGGGUUGUGGGGAGGCACCCGCCACCACACCCUUUGAGAGGAAGGUGUUUGAGAGGAGAGGCCCCCCCAAUUGGAAAUGAACCCCGGUCCAAAUCUCUUGGGGAGGCACCAGUGAGAAUAUUGGUCAAGGGGCCGGACCCUGACCCAGCCAAAGUAGGGAAAGGAUGACUCCCUUAGGGGUUGAAAAUUUUUUUAAUAUAGAAUAAAGGCCAGUAUGUAUACUGUUUUGUAUGUAUAAUAAGAAUAAGGAUCGGCUAACUCCGUGCCAGCAGCCGCGGUAAUACGGAGGAUCCGAGCGUUAUCCGGAUUUAUUGGGUUUAAAGGGAGCGUAGGUGGACUGGUAAGUCAGUUGUGAAAGUUUGCGGCUCAACCGUAAAAUUGCAGUUGAUACUGUCAGUCUUGAGUACAGUAGAGGUGGGCGGAAUUCGUGGUGUAGCGGUGAAAUGCUUAGAUAUCACGAAGAACUCCGAUUGCGAAGGCAGCUCACUGGACUGCAACUGACACUGAUGCUCGAAAGUGUGGGUAUCAAACAGGAUUAGAUACCCUGGUAGUCCACACAGUAAACGAUGAAUACUCGCUGUUUGCGAUAUACAGUAAGCGGCCAAGCGAAAGCAUUAAGCAUCCCACCUGGGGAGUACGCCGGCAACGGUGAAACUCAAAGGAAUUGACGGGGGCCCGCACAAGCGGAGGAACAUGUGGUUUAAUUCGAUGAUACGCGAGGAACCUUACCCGGGCUUGAAUUGCAGAGGAAGGAUUUGGAGACAAUGACGCCCUUCGGGGCCUCUGUGAAGGUGCUGCAUGGUUGUCGUCAGCUCGUGCCGUGAGGUGUCGGCUUAAGUGCCAUAACGAGCGCAACCCCUCUCCUUAGUUGCCAUCAGGUCAAGCUGGGCACUCUGGGGACACUGCCACCGUAAGGUGUGAGGAAGGUGGGGAUGACGUCAAAUCAGCACGGCCCUUACGUCCGGGGCUACACACGUGUUACAAUGGCAGGUACAGAGAGACGGUCCCUUGCAAAAUGGAUCAAAUCCUUAAAGCCUGUCUCAGUUCGGACUGGGGUCUGCAACCCGACCCCACGAAGCUGGAUUCGCUAGUAAUCGCGCAUCAGCCAUGGCGCGGUGAAUACGUUCCCGGGCCUUGUACACACCGCCCGUC
rnacentral:rRNA from 1 species